UACAGAGGGUGCAAGCGUUAAUCGGAAUUACUGGGCGUAAAGGGUGCGUAGGUGGUUUAAUAAGUUGGGUGUGAAAGUCCUGAGCUUAACUUGGGGAUUGCGCUUAAUACUGUUGAGCUAGAGUACUGUAGAGGAAGGUGGAAUUUCCAGUGUAGCGGUGAAAUGCGUAGAUAUUGGAAGGAACAUCAGUGGCGAAGGCGACUUUCUGGACAGAUACUGACACUGAGGCGCGAAAGCUAGGGGAGCAAACAGG
rnacentral:rRNA from 1 species